UGUUUGUUCAUUGGAGCUCAAGAGACGUGCAUGUGAGGACAAGCAAGCUAAAUACAAGAGCAAAAGUUGAACCGGGUUGAAGAUAAACGGUGCAGGCAUGUUCAGGGCGGGCCAUCAUGUAGGCAGCUGCUGCAAUGCUAGAUAAGUUGGACGACUUCUCUGGACACGACAAGACUGAAUCAGGGCACCAUUAUGAAUAACAGGCAAUUUUCAGAUAUGUGUCUGUCUACCAUCUGAUUCCAUACUCCCAGCUUCUGAAAAAAGAUCAUACAAGUGAUGAUGGAUUUAGCAGGAAAUGUGAAUUUCUCUCUUAGUUAGUCUUACUGCGCACACGGAGUUGAAUCGUGAUCGUAUGUAUUACUCGCAGCUUGAUGCACACAUGUACACUGAAC
rnacentral:lncRNA from 1 species